rnacentral:rRNA from 1 species
ACGGAAGGCAGCAGUGGGGAAUAUUGGGCAAUGGGCGCAAGCCUGACCCAGCAAUGCCGCGUGAAGGAAGAAGGCUUUCGGGUUGUAAACUUCUUUUAAGUGGGACGAUAAUGACGGUACCACUUGAAUAAGCUCCGGCUAACUACGUGCCAGCAGCCGCGGUAAUACGUAGGGAGCAAGCGUUAUCCGGAUUUACUGGGUGUAAAGGCGUGUAGGCGGGACAGCAAGUCAGAUGUGAAAGCACGAGGCUCAACUUCGUGUCUGCAUUUGAAACUGCUGUUCUUGAGUGCUGGAGAGGCUAACGGAACUCCUAGUGUAGCGGUGAAAUGCGUAGAUAUUAGGAAGAACACCAGUGGCGAAGGCGGUUAGCUGGACAGUAACUGACGCUGAGGCGCGAAAGCGUGGGUAGCAAACAGGAUUAGAUACCCUGGUA